AUUGCCUCAGUAACGGCGAGUGAAGCGGCAAGAGCUCAAAUUUGAAAUCUGGCCCCUCCGGGGUCCGAGUUGUAAUUUGCAGAGGAUGCUUCGGGUGCGGCCCCUGUCUAAGUGCCCUGGAACGGGCCGUCAGAGAGGGUGAGAAUCCCGUCUUGGGCAGGGUGCCCGUGCCCGUGUGAAGCUCCUUCGACGAGUCGAGUUGUUUGGGAAUGCAGCUCUAAAUGGGUGGUAAAUUUCAUCUAAAGCUAAAUACCGGCCGGAGACCGAUAGCGCACAAGUAGAGUGAUCGAAAGAUGAAAAGCACUUUGAAAAGAGAGUUAAACAGCACGUGAAAUUGUUGAAAGGGAAGCGCUUGCGACCAGACUCGGCCCCGGGGUUCAGCCAGCAUUCGUGCUGGUGUACUUCCCCGGGGGCGGGCCAGCGUCGGUUUGGGCGGCCGGUCAAAGGCCCCAGGAAUGUGUCGCCCUCCGGGGCGUCUUAUAGCCUGGGGUGCAAUGCGGCCAGCCCGGACCGAGGAACGCGCUUCGGCACGGACGCUGGCG
rnacentral:rRNA from 1 species